ACUGCCCCAGUAGAGUUUCCAGAGUGAGUGUUUAUCUCAUGUGCUUCAGUAGGUGGGAGAAAAGAGAAAGAUUAUGUCUAUGCUCAGUGUUAUGAACUAGGAAUGUCUGAAAGAUGACUCACCUAACAUG
ensembl:snoRNA Gm25976 small nucleolar RNA SNORA17